GCUUACGGCCAUACCACCCUGUUCUCACCCGAUCUCGUCUGAUCUCGGAAGCUAUGCAAGGUCGGGCCUGGUUAGUACUUGGAUGGAAGACCGCCUGGGAAUACCAGGUGCUGUAAGCU
ensembl:rRNA 5S_rRNA 5S ribosomal RNA